rnacentral:lncRNA from 1 species
UAAACAAGGAUUUAUAAGAUUUUAUCAUAUUUUGGAAGUUGUGGAUUACUUGAGGAUUGUGUAUUUGGUGUAAUUACUCAAAAAGAGAAAAAUUAUAUAUAAACUUAGGGCUUCCCUUAUUUUCAAGCUUGAUUGAAUAAUUAGUGACAGACAGAAGCCAAGCAUUUUCUUGAGGCAAACUCUCUCUACUCCGACAACGUAUUUUCCAAUUGAACUUGAUUGACGUCUUAGUGAGUUGGUGGAAUCAUGGUC